rnacentral:rRNA from 1 species
UACGUAUGGUGCAAGCGUUAUCCGGAUUUACUGGGCGUAAAGGGAGCGCAGGCGGCGCGCCAAGUCUGAUGUGAAACCCCGGGGCUCAACCCCGGGCAUGCAUUGGAAACUGGCGGGCUGGAGUGCCGGAGAGGUAAGCGGAAUUCCUAGUGUAGCGGUGAAAUGCGUAGAUAUUAGGAGGAACACCAGUGGCGGAGGCGGCUUACUGGACGGCAACUGACGCUGAGGCUCGAAAGCGUGGGGAGCAAACAGG